rnacentral:rRNA from 1 species
AUUGAACGCUGGCGGCAGGCCUAACACAUGCAAGUCGAACGAGUGGCGGACGGGUGAGUAAUGUCUGGGAAACUGCCCGAUGGAGGGGGAUAACUACUGGAAACGGUAGCUAAUACCGCAUACCAUCGGAUGUGCCCAGAUGGGAUUAGCUCGUGGGUGGGGUAACGGCUCACCUAGGCGACGAUCCCUAGCUGGUCUGAGAGGAUGACCAGCCACACGGGGACUGAGACACGGUCCAGACUCCUACGGGAGGCAGCAGUGGGGAAGAUUGCGCAAUGGGCGCAAGCCUGAUGCAGCCAUGCCGCGUGUAUGAAGAAGGCCUUCGGGUUGUAAAGUACUUUCAGCGAGGAGGCGGUACUCGCAGAAGAAGCACCGGCUAACUCCGUGCCAGCAGCCGCGGUAAUAC